GGAAAGGCGCGCGAUACAGGGUGACAGCCCCGUACACAAAAAUGCACAUGCUGUGAGCUCGAUGAGUAGGGCGGGACACGUGGUAUCCUGUCUGAAUAUGGGGGGACCAUCCUCCAAGGCUAAAUACUCCUGACUGACCGAUAGUGAACCAGUACCGUGAGGGAAAGGCGAAAAGAACCCCGGCGAGGGGAGUGAAAAAGAACCUGAAACCGUGUACGUACAAGCAGUGGGAGCACGCUUAGGCGUGUGACUGCGUACCUUUUGUAUAAUGGGUCAGCGACUUAUAUUCUGUAGCAAGGUUAACCGAAUAGGGGAGCCGAAGGGAAACCGAGUCUUAACUGGGCGUUAAGUUGCAGGGUAUAGACCCGAAACCCGGUGAUCUAGCCAUGGGCAGGUUGAAGGUUGGGUAACACUAACUGGAGGACCGAACCGACUAAUGUUGAAAAAUUAGCGGAUGACUUGUGGCUGGGGGUGAAAGGCCAAUCAAACCGGGAGAUAGCUGGUUCUCCCCGAAAGCUAUUUAGGUAGCGCCUCGUGAAUUCAUCUCCGGGGGUAGAGCACUGUUUCGGCAAGGGGGUCAUCCCGACUUACCAACCCGAUGCAAACUGCGAAUACCGGAGAAUGUUAUCACGGGAGACACACGGCGGGUGCUAACGUCCGUCGUGAAGAGGGAAACAACCCAGACCGCCAGCUAAGGUCCCAAAGUCAUGGUUAAGUGGGAAACGAUGUGGGAAGGCCCAGACAGCCAG
rnacentral:rRNA from 1 species